GACGAAGGGGGCUAGCGUUGUUCGGAAUUACUGGGCGUAAAGGGCGCGUAGGCGGACAGUUUAGUCAGAGGUGAAAGCCCAGGGCUCAACCUUGGAAUUGCCUUUGAUACUGGCUGUCUUGAGUUCGGGAGAGGUGAGUGGAAUGCCGAGUGUAGAGGUGAAAUUCGUAGAUAUUCGGCGGAACACCAGUGGCGAAGGCGACUCACUGGCCCGAUACUGACGCUGAGGCGCGAAAGCGUGGGGAGCAAACAGG
rnacentral:rRNA from 1 species